rnacentral:rRNA from 1 species
UACGUAGGGGGCAAGCGUUGUCCGGAAUCAUUGGGCGUAAAGAGCGUGUAGGCGGCCCGAUAAGUCCGCUGUGAAAGUCCAGGGCUCAACCCUGGGAUGCCGGUGGAUACUGUCGGGCUCGAGUCCGGAAGAGGAGUGUGGAAUUCCUGGUGUAGCGGUGAAAUGCGCAGAUAUCAGGAGGAACACCAAAGGCGAAGGCAGCACUCUGGGACGUGACUGACGCUGAGACGCGAAAGCGUGGGGAGCAAACAGG